CAUGCUGAAACACUGGUUCCUGUAUGAUCACAAAAGUUAAACAACAUUGAGCCUGGUCAGUACCUGGAUGAGUGACCACUUGGGAAUACCAGGUGCUGUACG
rnacentral:rRNA from 1 species